CAGUCUUCAGUAUGGGUCAAUCUCUGAUCUGCAACUGAAUAUGAUGAGUUCGGGCGAUGAUCUUCUGUGAUUACAUCGCACGGCGAGGUGGGAACGCAAUACCCGCCUGCCAGCCCGAUUCUGAAC
ensembl:snoRNA T26A8.6 ncRNA